AUUGAACGCUGGCGGCAGGCCUAACACAUGCAAGUCGAACGAGUGGCGGACGGGUGAGUAAUGUCUGGGAAACUGCCUGAUGGAGGGGGAUAACUACUGGAAACGGUAGCUAAUACCGCAUACCAUCGGAUGUGCCCAGAUGGGAUUAGCUAGUAGGUGGGGUAAAGGCUCACCAAGGCAACGAUCCCUAGCUGGUCUGAGAGGAUGACCAGCCACACUGGGACGGAGACACGGCCCAGACUCCUACGGGAGGCAGCAGUGGGGAAUAGUGGACAAUGGGCGAAAGCCUGAUGCAGCCAUGCCGCGUGUAUGAAGAAGGCCUUCGGGUUGUAAAGUACUUUCAGCAGAGAAGCGGUACCCGCAGAAGAAGCACCGGCUAACUCCGUGCCAGCAGCCGCGGUAAUAC
rnacentral:rRNA from 1 species